CGCCCUUAUAAGAAGAGGAAGAGAGAGAUCGCUUUCCACUGAAAUGUACCGAGGAAAGGCUAUGUGAGGACAUAGCCCAGAAGAGGCCCUCACCAGAGCCCAGCUAUGCUGGCACCCUGACCUCCUGCUCCAGCCUCCAGACUGUGAGGAAAUACGUUUCCAUGGUUGAAGCCACCCAGUCUAUGGUAUUUUGUUGUGGCUGCCUGAGCUAAGACACCAUCACACAAUGACCAGGGAGGCUCUUUGGCCGUGGUCAGCAGAGGCAGCUGUGCCACUGCCUGUGGGUGCCACGCCUGCCUCACAGCAGCAACUUCCUCAUAAGAAAGUCUCUGCUGUUAUUUAGAUGUGUGUCUUGUCUCCCAGACUCAGAUACAAGCCCAUCAAGGCAGUGAGGUUGACAUCUUUUUUUCUGACUUGUCUGCAAACCCGUCAUGAGGAUUGUUGCACAGUCAUGUUUGGGUAAUGCCACGUACAGUCUUUCCUUCUUAGGCAAUUAUAUUAGCAGUUAAAGGCUCUGAGAAGUUUUGCAAUGAAGAUGCUGUCAUAAGUUUGUCUAAUUCAGCAUUUGACAACAGAACUGAUUUUCCUAGCAACAUUUUGGUCCAGAGAGAAGGUGAUGCAAGAUGCAGAAAUGACUGAGAGUAUGGUGAGCACUUGUUCACUACGCCAGAAAUAAAAGAUCAUUGAAGUGAGAUUGAUUAAAACUACAAUCAAUAAAAGAUCAUUGAAGUGAAAUUGAUUAAAACUACAAAAAAAAAAAAAAA
rnacentral:lncRNA from 1 species